CGCGUAGGCGGUCAGGUAAGUCGGGUGUGAAAUUCCGGGCUCAACCCCGCGAACUGCAUCCGAUACUGCUUGACUUGAGAGAGGUAGGGCGAGUGGAAUUCCCGGUGUAGCGGUGGAAUGCGUAGAUAUCGGGAAGAACACCGGUGGCGAAGGCGGCUCGCUGGACCUUUUCUGACGCUGAAGCGCGAAAGCGUGGGGAGCAAACA
rnacentral:rRNA from 1 species